rnacentral:rRNA from 1 species
UGUAAUCUGCCUUGUACAGAGGGAUAGCCCAGAGAAAUUUGGAUUAAUACCUCAUAGUAUUACUGAGUCGCAUGAUUUGGUAAUUAAAGCUCCGGCGGUACAAGAUGAACAUGCGUGACAUUAGCUAGUUGGUAAGGUAACGGCUUACCAAGGCUACGAUGUCUAGGGGUUCUGAGAGGAUGAUCCCCCACACCGGUACUGAGACACGGACCAGACUCCUACGGGAGGCAGCAGUGAGGAAUAUUGGUCAAUGGACGCAAGUCUGAACCAGCCAUCCCGCGUGAAGGAUGACUGCCCUAUGGGUUGUAAACUUCUUUUAUAUGCAAAUAAACCUACUUUCGUGAAAGUAGCUGAAGGUACCAUAUGAAUAAACACCGGCUAACUCCGUGCCAGCAGCCGCGGUAAUACGGAGGGUGUAAGCGU